rnacentral:rRNA from 1 species
CCUACGGGAGGCAGCAGUGGGGAAUAUUGCACAAUGGGGGAAACCCUGAUGCAGCGACGCCGCGUGAGUGAAGAAGUAUUUCGGUAUGUAAACUUCUAUCAGCAGGGAAGAAAAUGACGGUCCCUGGAUAAGCCACCCCGGCUAACUCCGUUCCCGCAGCCGCGGUAAUACCUAGGGGGCAAGCGUUAUCCGGGUUUACUGGGGGGAAAGGGAGCGUAGGCGGUUUAGCAAGUCAGAAGUGAAAGCCCGGGGCUCAACUCCGGGACUGCUUUUGAAACUGUUGAACUAGAUUGCAGGAGAGGUAAGUGGAAUUCCUAGUGUAGCGGUGAAAUGCGUAGAUAUUAGGAGGAACACCAGUGGCGAAGGCGGCUUACUGGACUGUAAAUGACGCUGAGGCACGAAGGCCAGGGGAGCGAAAGGGAUUAGAUACCCGAGUAGUC